CUUCACUGCCGCGUAGGCAGCUCAGAAA
rfam:Pseudomonas sp. TTT2014-080ASC scaffold_3, whole genome shotgun sequence.